UCUGCCAAUUGAGCUAACACAGUGACUGAUUAGCCAUAGUAGGGUCUCAUCCUUUCUGUGGACCAGUGCUAGAUGAGGACUGGACACUCAGCCAAUAGGUUUUCCAGAUAUUUGCUGACAGCUGAUGAAAGCAAUCUUGAGUUCCAUUCCUGACUCUGGAGGGGAGUGUUUUCUAAUGGUCACAGGCUCCUUUCCAUCCCUUCUGUGUCCCAGUUCUGUCUCUUCCCUGCUCCUAAUCCCACUCCCAUCUUCCUUACUUAGCCAUUCCCAGACUGUCCAUCACCUCCAAUCAUUGUCCCAGUCUCCUUGUCCAAACAGUCCCACUUCUCCCACCUAUACAUGCUAGUUCCUUAUCUAAUUUCUUUCCCCAACCACACCCAUCUCCAGUUCCAUUCUUCCUUACCAUUCCAACUCCCGGUUUCAAUUUCCCUCUCCCUCUUCAGUCCCAGUUUCUGUCCCCCUCUCUUCAGGCUACCUGUCCCAAUCACACUGAGCUUUUGUUCCCUCUGCAUUCAAAGCAGGCAACUUCCUCCUACGCCCUGUUUUGGGGAUGGGGGUGUGUGCAUGUUGUGAGUACAGCAUUACCCAAUGCAGUCCAGAGCUACAAUUGCAGUUAGUGGACUAAAUCUUCAGAGGAUGGAGCUGCUAAAAAUCUACUGAAACUGAGCAAACUGCAAUUUUCACAAUGGAUUUAACUUGAACAAAUUUGGACAGAUUUUCAUAGGAAUGGCAAAAGGCACAUCCCUGACACAAAGGCCACUUGCCAAUUGGGUGCUAGAGAUUUUCAAAGAAAAAAAUCAAAUUUUUUAAAUGUAUGCAAACAAUGUACAUUUCCCUAGCUGUGUUUUUGUAAAUGGCGGAAUCAUUUUGGCUGAAGUUUUCCAAAAUAAUUCAGCCUGAGGCACAUUAAAGUUUUGGCAGAGUAGUUUAUAACUCUGAAAACAAUAUAAUGAGAAGGGUCAGGUAAUCUUAACAGGCAGAACUACCAGUUCCACCUGAAACAACAUGGCUACCUUCUAGCUUGUCUUUUUUCCUAACAAAUGACACACAAUGAGGUUUCAGUGCAUUCUCAGCCCGUGCUGCUUUAUUGCUAAAAAAAAAUUGUAUACAGGUGCAGAGUUUCCAAAUUCAUUUUUAAACAGUUCCUCUUUACAGUGUCAAAAGAAUAAAAUCUUUUCUUGAAAUCCCCAAAGAUGCAUAGAUAUAAAAGCAAGCUGCCUUUGGAAAACGUCAACUAUAUACAGGGAGAAAUUUUCAGUAUUACCACAUCAAAACACAGUGCGAUGGAAUAAAUGGUUUCCAGUGUUACCACUAAAUUCCUUCACUAAUCUUUUCCUGUGCAUGGUCUAUUGAGUACAAUGAAUAUGUGAUCAUACUAUCAGAAGUUCAGUAUAGGAAGUAUUCUCUAACCUAGUUUCUAAACUUUAGAUGCCUUUUUUUAAAAAAAAAAUGUCCUUCUCAUCCCCUUCCUAUGUUAGAGCUGAAAACCACCUUCAAAAUUUCUCCUCUGCUCUUCCACGAUGCUCCUCACAAAGAGAUUAUUUACAAUGAAGUCUUAUUUUCUUUUUGUUUAGAAGGGAAAUAAGUGUGUACUUGUAAAUAUACUAACUGCUUAUCCCUCAGGCAAUGUCUACACUCCAAAUACUACAGUGGCACAACUGUAGUGUACAUUACAGCGAUGGAAGAAGUUUCUCUGUCACUGUAGUAACUCCAUCAACUUGAAUUCUUAACCUAGUUACUACCCUCUUUGUGUACCUAGCCAUAGCGGGUUUAUGUCAGCAUAGCUGCAACAUUCAGGAGUGUAGAUUUUUCACACCCUGAGUGCAGUUACUCUGUUGACCUAUAUUUAAGUGCAGACCAGGCCUUAUUUGAAGGGAAAAAAAAAAAAAAGUACUAAUGCAGGAUUUUAAACUGAAGAGUAGUCCUGAAGGAUGUCCAGUAGGGUUUUUAUUGGCAUGCUUGACCACUUGGGCUAAACAUGUUUUAACCAUUCCUUUUGCCUACAGAAGAUGGCCCAAAGAAAAAAUUUCAACCAUAUUCUGAUACUAUAAAAUACAGUCGAUCAUAGAUUAAAUCUAAUAUUCCCUUUUUCCAUUUGGCAACUACUGUACAUCUAAAGAAAGAACAAUGAGAAAAAUAUAUGGCCCCCACACCAAGCCUGCAUUGUGGGUGUGCUUGUAUUACACUGGUUAAGAAUGUAGACAGGAGUUAACUUGACCCAUAAACCCUUCCUCUUGCCCCAUUUCUUUCUUCAAAGAAAGAGGUGGGAAUUUCUGACAGAGGGAUUUCCACAUAAACUAGGUCACCUGCAAAGUUAGAUAUAGCCAUAAGAUAGAAGUAAUGAAUCUUGAAGGCUACUUGUCUCAGUCUGAGAGCUUCUGAAUUUACACGCUCCACACUAGGAAAGCAGCAUUAGUUCUUGUGCUCUGCUACAGAUAUAACUUUUUUUUUUAACAAACAUUCUAAGCAGCAAUUUUCCCCAAACACCCACAAAGUGGCUAAAGAAAAAUUCUCUGCAGAAAACAGUGAAAGUUUGCAAACAAAUAGAUGGCACCUGAUUUCCAUCAGUUCUCUCAUGUCAAAAAUUACUAUUUUUUUUUAAUUAGUUAAAUUAAGAACAAAACAUUGUCACCUAUGUUGCUAGAGGUCAGGACACUCAUUGAGCAAAUCUCAUUUUAUAACUUUUUCAAAGUUUUAGUCACAGAGCUCAACAAAAUAAAAACACAAGUUUUGUCAAAUUUCAGGUUCAUUCAUAAAGGUUGCCAUUACAACUGGUUCAUACCAGUAUGCUUCCAUACAGCAGCCUAUGUGGCUAGAGUUACCUGAAAAUACUAUUAAAAAGCUAUUAAACACCUGAAAUAUGUGGACUGUGCUUAUUGAUUUCAACCCCUUCCAAAGAAUUUACCUCACUAGGCCAAGACCUCUUUCACCUAUUGUCAGGCAACUCCUACACUCAGUUUACUAUGAGUCAGUUUUUAUGUUAUCCAACUUGGAUUUCACCUGUUGCCCUCCCCACACCCUAGGAAACUCUGCACCUUUCUGUUUGCUACAAUUGCAGCAGCUGAGAAACCUCAUCUCGCCACUAAACAUGCUUAGUUCAUGCCCUGUUUUUUACAUGCUCAGGGCACUAAUGUGAACCAGGCAAGAGGUUAAAAAGGCGAGUUCUGCUGAUCCUCGUUCCUGAUACACAAUUUUGGUGCCAUGCUUCCGUCCCUAUCUGUAUAAUCUGCCCCUUUCUCUACAGAGGCAGUGCAUUCUCUAAAAACAAAAUUUGAGACUCAAAGCAGUAAGUUCAAGCUAUUGGUAUAUUAGUUCCUAUUGCUUCAUUAUAAAUAACUGCAUAUCUGAAUUUACUGGUAAUAACUAUGUAACACUAGACAUUUUGAAUCAUGCAUAAUUAGAAUACUAGCUCUAUAAGACUUGAUUUGUGGGCCUGUGCCACUCUUCCUCGGUUUGUCCAUGCAGUUCUUUGUGCCUAGGGCUUCACAAAUGAACAUUCUUUUAGUUGCUCUGCAAACACACAUUCAGUUUGGAGAGGAAAACAGAAUUUACACAGGACAUGCUACAGCAAGUUAGAACAUCUGACAGUAAAGAUAAAAGGUAAGCCUUAGAGAAUUUGAGUAUACUGUGACUGCUUGGUAUGUAGGUUUAGUGCCAGACAUAUCCUUUAUUUAUGCUGUACAUGUAUACACAUUAUUCUAAAGUCAAACUUCAGGAAAAAGUGCAAAGGAGACUGAAGGAAAAUGGGGGUGGAGGGUGGGUGUCCAUAGGUAGCAGCAUUCUGCACUGCUGUGAGAGACACCCAGGUUCUGCAACUGGUCCUUGUGCCUUAGCCUGGCCAUCCUGUGAAGGCAACAUGCUGAACCUUUGGGAGGAAAGGCAACACCAUGAAUUGCCCAACAUAUAGCCCUCUGGCGCAAGUAAAAAGCUGCACGAAUGGGCUUGGAAGGAAAUCUCAGCUAGACUCCAUUCACAGCUGAAAAGAUGGUCACUGCAAUGUAAGGAAAAAAGGGGUCUCUAAGAGCACUGAAACUUCCUAGGAAAGGUUCUGUUCUCCAUUAUUACUGAGGAGUACUUCCAUAAAACCCUGAAAAUAACCUUGACAGCAGAGCUGGUAGCGAAGCCCUGUUUAAAAUAUCAUUGUCCUGAAGCUUGUCACAGCUCUCUAUUCCCAAAAACUUGCCACAAGGAUUUCUUAGUGCUGAGAAGGUCUUUAACAGCCAGCUGUAUCUAGCAAGAGCUUCAAUUAACAGGAUAGGUAUUGGCUAGAACUUCUCCAGCAGCACCAAUGAGCAAGAAAGUAGACCACAGUUUUCUGCACAGUCCACACACUUAUGAUCUAGACUUAGCACUGCUUAGACCUAGUAUUAGCAUGCCACUGCUUGAAAACCAUCACAUUAUCUGAACUUUCUGCUUUGUUUUGCAAAGCAAGGAAAUCAAGGGCUUGGGAGGGGAAAAAAAAAAAAAAAAUCAUACCACAGCUCAGUGGCCUCAGGGCAACAGGAUCUCUGACAUUGCUGCUGUGAGCUGUCUUUGGAAAUUUAGUCACCCCUGUAGAAUAGUUCACCAGAAAGUCUGCAAUGGCAGCAACAAGCAGAUAGCAUUCAAGUUUUCAUUGUAACUGUAUAACACAGUCUUGCAAAAUUCUACUCGGCUAGGAAAAGUAAAUAUUCUGGAGAUAUGAGCAAGAUAGUGUUUUCAUUAUUAUGGUAAAAGACUGGCAACUAGAUUUUAGUAAUUGUAUAAGGCUGGUCUAAUACCACCUAGUAUGUCUAGGACAUGAUCAAGUGAAGGUCUCGGUAUGUUUCCUGUUUUAAUAAUAAUUUAAGGGCUGGAAUUUAUUUCAAAUCACCAUCUUUUAGAUCACAGGGUUUCAUGUGCAAGACUACUAUUGGAUAUGCCCUACUUGCCAACACUUAACUACUUAUCCAUACAUCCAUCUUGGUUAUAUUAGAUAUGGGGUGCCCACAUUUUGCCCUAACAGAGGGUCAUGUUAUCGACUUGCCAGGGGACAAAUGGCCCCACCUAGUUUACUAAAUAAUGAAGCAAAGUUCAGCCACUCUCAGACACUACAAAUGGUAGCAUGCAAUAUUCCAUCCUGAUCAAAGAGAUUAAGCCACCACAUGGAUCAAUACACACUUUGAUUUAAUAAUUCAAUUCAGGACAGAACAUGGCAUGCUGAGCUGUAUAUUCUCUGCAGGCUACACUUCUGUAUUGAAGACAAGGUCAGCUGUGGGUUGUAUUUUGAAACUCCAUGGGCUCUUUUGAGUGCCCCUCUAAUAGUUGCCCGGCACAAAGACCACAGCAGCAGAUCAUUUCUCCUCUGCCUUACCAGAGAAUCUACUGCAAUUGGCUUUGCAAAACUCAAAGGGUGAACAGAAAAGUUUUAAUCUUAAAUGGAAGCAUAUGGCCGGUUUGUACUGAAAAUUUUAAAGAGGAAGUAGGAUAGUCUUUUGAAAGAAAUAAAUCCUACAAUUCUGUCCCUGCAGAAGAAACAUUUGGCAUGUCAACAUUUUACAAUAUUUUCUUUUCAGGACCGGUCAUAUCUCUACUUAGUUUAUUUUUACAAAAAACAAAAACCCUCUCUGCAAUAAAAGCUUUGAAUCAUGCUUUUCAACUGUGGGAAACGGGUCUUCUUUGUAUCUCAGCACUUUCCUCUCAGAGGCACAGCACAUGCUACACUACAAAACAAGCAAUAGGGAAACCAGCCACUCAUACACAACUGCCCACUCUUCCCGUACAUGCACCAAUUCAGACGCAUGACCUAUAGCUAUCCAGGUUUUAUACCAGGCUCAUCACCAUGGUAUUUAAGCGCCAUAUCCCCUCAAAAGAGGGAAAUAGUAAGAGGAAUUCUUCCAUCUUUUUGAAAAGAGACACUGUUCUCUUCAUGCAACUCCCUGCAGCACAGACCACAAACUUAUUUGGUUAUUACCACUUAUUCUACUGUACAAUCUUGCUAAUGCAAGUUAGUUACUAUUACAUGCAAAACAGUUAUUGCUACUAAAAUUCUAGUUUUAUUAAAUCUUUUAUGGCUUUGUUUGCAUCAGGGAUAUUUCCCCCUACAUACUGUGCUAUUUUGCAUUCCAGUUUCAGAGGUAUUUUUUUAUCAAUUGAUUCCCCCAAGCACUGAGCUACUUGAUUCAAUGGUAUAGCUACUUUUAUUCGGAACUGAACUAGCUUUAAGCACAGUUCCCCAGAGCUCUACUGUAAACAGCCCACCUGCCCAAUAUACAUGGAGAGACGGAAUAUGCAGAGACUCUGUGUUUUAUUACAUAAUUAACUCUGCAAGAAUCACUGGUUUUGUAUCUCAGUACAUUUUGCCCAUUUAAUUAAUCUAGAUCAACUCAAACCAAAGCUACCCAUUUUUCCCCAGGUGGCCAUUUACAGGCAGGGCUCAAGAAAAGAUGCAGUACCCUCUCUUAGCUGACAGCAGUCUUUGUUAUUUUAAAACAGAGGUGGGUGAAAACCAAUAGUGACAGCAAUUAAAAAGCUAUUCCAGGAAAUCAGACAGAUAUCAUACACAGAUUGUUGCAAACCUGGGUUGGGAGUUGCAUCUCUUGCUUCAAUAGUCUAAAUGGCCUUUUGAGAAAGUGAUAAAUAAAAGUUAAGAUUUUGUCAAGAUUAUUUUUAGUAAAAGUCAGGGACAGGUCGCGGGCAAUAAAAAAAUGCAGGGAAGCCCAUGAUGCGUCUCUGACUUUUACUAAAAAUAAUGGGGAUGGGGGAAACUGACCAGGGGAUGACUGAAGCCCAAGUCCUGCAGUUGGAGGAGGGGGAGCUCUAGCACCCACCCUGGCUGAUAGCUCUAGGGCCCCCGCCACCUGCAACAGCUGAUGGCUCCAGUGCCAGUGACUGAGAGCUCUGGAGCCCCCACCGUCUAUAGCGGCUGACAGCUACAGGUCCCCUCUGCUCACGAUGGCUCGGAGAUGCGGGACCCCCACUGCCCACAAUGGCUGACGGCAGUGGGGCCCCUGCCACCUGCGGCAGCUCGGAGCCCCCGCCGGCUGACAACUCUGGCCCCAAUGCCCCAGACCCAGGGCUGAAGCUGAAGGGAAAACGUCACAGAGGUCUCUGAAAGUCACAGAAUCUAAGACUUCCAUGACAAAAUCUUAUCCUUAGUGAUAAACCAUUUGGAUUUCACCUAGCUCAGCUUUCCAUUCUCAGAAGGUAGAGGGAGAGGCAUUGUGGAGAGAGAGAAAAUUGCCAUGCAAUUAAAAAAGAAAUCAGAUAGCUGGGAAAAGUAUUGGAAGUGUCAAUCUAUAAUUUAGGAUGCUAAAUGCACAAAAUUGAAAAAACUUGUAGACAGCAAUUUGAAUUUAAUAAUUUAACUAGUCUUACUAAUUAAGAUGAUCAUUAGCAUAUCGUUUUUAAAUAGAGUUAUUUCUGCAAAAUGUUAGUCUGCUCAACAAUAUAAUGUUAACAGAUAACAUUAAUUAUACUCAUAUGAGAAGGCAGCAGAGUUGCCUAUAAAACAUGUACAGUGCCUCUUCAGCUUCUGUAUGGUGGAUGGGAUAGGUAGUAAUGAAGCAGUCUACACGAAGACAGAGUCUGCAAGAACAGUUUAGGGUGUUUCACUAAGACUAAAAGGAAACAAAUGCCACCGUCAAUUUGGUGCGUGUGCUGGAUUUGUCUUGCAGUUCACCUUAUGUGGAUGAAGAGAUGAUUCGUCUGGAUGCUCACGGUCUACUGUUUAGCUUGGACAGACUUUACCAAAAACAAAA